GACGAACGCUGGCGGCGUGCCUAAUACAUGCAAGUCGUGCGGACCUUGUUGAAAGCUUGCUUUUAAAAGGUUAGCGGCGGACGGGUGAGUAACACGUGGGCAACCUGCCUGUAAGACUGGGAUAACGCCGGGAAACCGGGGCUAAUACCAGAUCGUUUUUUCCUCCGCAUGGAGGAAAAAGGAAAGGCGGCUUCGGCUGCCACUUACAGAUGGGCCCGCGGCGCAUUAGCUAGUUGGCGGGGUAAUGGCCCACCAAGGCAACGAUGCGUAGCCGACCUGAGAGGGUGAUCGGCCACAUUGGGACUGAGACACGGCCCAAACUCCUACGGUAGGCAGCAGUAGGGAAUCUUCCGCAAUGGACGAAAGUCUGACGGAGCAACGCCGCGUGAGUGAAGAAGGCCUUCGGGUCGUAAAACUCUGUUGCCGGGGAAGAACAAGUGCCGUUCGAACAGGGCGGCGCCUUGACGGUACCCGGCCAGAAAGCCACGGCUAACUACGUG
rnacentral:rRNA from 1 species